rnacentral:misc_RNA from 1 species
GGGACUCUUACGAGAUCUUGAGCAAACAGCUUGAGCAGGAGUGGAUACAGAGUGUUCAAGAAAGGAAAAAUAGGCCCAGACUGAAGGGAAACAAGAGGGCUCCCAAAUCUGCUGAACAGAGGAGGAAGAUUUCAGAGGCCAUUGCAGCUAAAUGGGCUGAUCCUGAUUACCGUUCUCGGGUCCAAUCCGCUCUGUCCAAAUAUCAUGGAAUACCCGAUGGAGUUGAAAGAAGACCAAGGAGAAAGCCCGCUAGUGAUGAGCAGACUAGAAAAAGAAGCCCUCCGAAAAAAAAAGCUAAUGAAUUGGAUAAUCCGGUAAAGCCCGAGCCGAAGAGCCAAGUUCAACGUGUUCGAUUGAGGAGAAAAAACACACCAAUGUACAAGGAUCCUUUGGCUAGUUCCAAGUUAGAAAUGAUAAAGAAUAUCAGGGCACAGAGAGCAGGUAUUGACCAGAAGAAAAUUGAAGCCGUCAUGAGAGCAAAAGCAUUGAUAGCUGAGGCUGAGAAGGCAGCAGAGGCCUUGGAAAUGGCUGCCCAUAAUAGCCCUGUUGCUCAAGCGUCGCUAAUUGAAACUAGGAAGCUCAUUUCUGAAGCUAUCCGCUCCAUUGAAUCCAUAGAGAAAGAAGUGUCUCUUUCAGAUGAAGAUCUUUCACCACCUUCAACUGAGCUGGGUAGC